AUGGAAGCAAAAGCAGAGCAAAUAACUAAUUAUCACUUAUUAAACUAUUACAAAGUUGAUUCCAGCAAACAAAUUGCAAAUACAAGCAUACUUAAAAAUAAUAAUAACAAUGCACUUCUCUUUUCGGAGCACACACCGAUCCACUUUUCUCCUUUUCUACAAGUUGGAGGACAUGAUGACCGCACCGUCACGUCCAUAUCUUCUAGCUACGGUCCGGUAACUCCCGUUGUUGUCCCCCUUACCUCCUGUCACUGCCUCCCUUUUUGUCCUCAUGUUGAAAUUCUCAAUGCCAAGCACUGGCUAGCUCAAUAA
rnacentral:rRNA from 1 species